AGUGAACGCUGGCGGUAGGCCUAACACAUGCAAGUCGAACGGCAGCACAGUAAGAGCUUGCUCUUACGGGUGGCGAGUGGCGGACGGGUGAGGAAUACAUCGGAAUCUACUUUUUCGUGGGGGAUAACGUAGGGAAACUUACGCUAAUACCGCAUACGACCUACGGGUGAAAGCAGGGGAUCUUCGGACCUUGCGCGAUUGCAUGAGCCGAUGUCGGAUUAGCUAGUUGGCGGGGUAAAGGCCCACCAAGGCGACGAUCCGUAGCUGGUCUGAGAGGAUGAUCAGCCAAACUGGAACUGAGACACGGUCCAGACUCCUACGGGAGGCAGCAGUGGGGAAUAUUGGACAAUGGGCGCAAGCCUGAUCCAGCCAUACCGCGUGGGUGAAGAAGGCCUUCGGGUUGUAAAGCCCUUUUGUUGGGAAAGAAAAGCAGCAGGUUAAUACCCCGCUGUUCUGACGGUACCCAAAGAAUAAGCACCGGCUAACUUCGUG
rnacentral:rRNA from 1 species